CUGUAGCUCUUCCCCUCUAGUCUCUAUGGUUGCGCCGGCGUUGGCAGUAUCGGCGCCUCACGAGUACUGAGGCUUCCAACUUUGUGGUCGAUCUCUGAGCGUUGUUGGGGCUUGGCGCUGCGCUAUGUCCGAGAAGAAGCAGCCUGUCGACUUGGGUCUCCUGGAAGAGGACGACGAGUUCGAGGAGUUUCCCGCGGAAGACUGGGCCGGCUUAGAUGAAGAUGAAGAUGCACACGUCUGGGAGGAUAAUUGGGAUGAUGACAAUGUAGAAGACGACUUCUCCAAUCAGUUACGCGCUGAGCUGGAGAAGCAUGGUUACAAGAUGGAGACUUCAUAGCCCCAGGAAUGUUCCAGGAACUUAAACAUGGACUCUACCACAUUCUCGGACAGAGAAACCAGCAUGGGAUACUUUAGAGAAUAUGUUUAUUUCAUUAUCUCUGGGAUUUAUUUUUGUUUGUAUAAUAAAAACAUAAGUAAAUAAAUGUUUUGAUCUAA